GACUUGUUGGCGCACUCGGCAGCGUCCCCACAAUAACUCAAUCCUGAGAGGAACUACGUAUGUGGGCGGCCCCGGUUCGAUUCUGGGAUGAGUCA